UUAUAUACUUCUUCUGGCAAAUUUCUUAAUGCAAGUUUGCAUGUUGAAUUUUGCAGCUUUCCUGAACUGGGUGCACAAGCUGGACUUUUCCUUGCAUGUUUGAGCAAUUUGAUCAUUCUCCAGAACCAAAGUGAUGCCACCUGAGUUGAUUAAGGAAAGUUUCAGAGUUGGAGCGAAUGGAGGCAAUGGAGGUGUAGAAGAUGAUGUAGUGGUUGCAAGUCUAACAAGUCUAAAGAUGGAUAUGGUUGAUAAAAUGAAGACAAGCAAAGGUGAAUCUGGAGGUGAAAGCUUAACCUGAGGACUUGCAAAAGAACGGUAAUGAAAGUCUGGAGGCAUUUUUGGCCCCUUGCUUCUUUCUUUGAGCAACUGCACUGCUAAUGUCACAUCUCCUCCUUCUAUGACAAUAAGUCCAAUUAUAACACUUUUUCUUUAAUAUCAUUUUUUUGAGUGUGCAAGAAGGAAAGUAAUUUUUGCUUUUGUUUCAAGUGUUGUCUUUCUUUCAUGGAGCUAUCAGCUUGUUACCUAAUUGUUGUGGUUGCUAAUUUACAAAUCAGUGAUGCCCAUAUGUAUCAGUUAUUUGAAAGAAAAGUUUUUAAAAUCA